rnacentral:rRNA from 1 species
UACGUAGGGCGCAAGCGUUGUCCGGAAUUAUUGGGCGUAAAGAGCUCGUAGGCGGCUUGUCACGUCGAUUGUGAAAGCCCGAGGCUUAACCUCGGGUCUGCAGUCGAUACGGGCUAGCUAGAGUGUGGUAGGGGAGAUCGGAAUUCCUGGUGUAGCGGUGAAAUGCGCAGAUAUCAGGAGGAACACCGGUGGCGAAGGCGGGUCUCUGG